rnacentral:rRNA from 1 species
AGUUUGAUCCUGGCUCAGAAUCAACGCUGGCGGCGCGCUUAACACAUGCAAGUCGCACGAGAAAGGGGAGCAAUCCCUAAGUACAGUGGCGUACGGGUGAGUAACACGUGGAUGAUCUACCUUCUAGUGGGGAAUAACCAUGGGAAACCGUGGCUAAUACCGCAUGAGCUCGAGAGAGGAAAGCAGCAAUGCGCUGGAAGAGGAGUCCGCGGCCGAUUAGCUAGUUGGCAGGGUAAAAGCCUACCAAGGCAGAGAUCGGUAGCCGGCCUGAGAGGGCACACGGCCACACUGGCACUGAAACACGGGCCAGACUCCUACGGGAGGCAGCAGUGGGGAAUCUUGCACAAUGGGGGAAACCCUGAUGCAGCGACGCCGCGUGAGCGAUGAAGCCCUUCGGGGUGUAAAGCUCUUUCGGCAGGGAAGAUGAUGACGGUACCUGCAGAAGCAGCUGCGGCUAACUACGUGCCAGCCGCCGCGGUAAUA